rnacentral:tRNA from 1 species
GUUUAUAUAGUUUAUUAAAACAUUACAUUUUCACUGUAAAGAUAAGUUAUACUUUAUAAAUA